rnacentral:rRNA from 1 species
GAUGAACGCUGGCGGCGUGCCUAAUACAUGCAAGUCGAACGCACAGCGAAAGGUGCUUGCACCUUUCAAGUGAGUGGCGAACGGGUGAGUAACACGUGGAUAACCUACCUCAAGGUUGGGGAUAACAUUUGGAAACAGAUGCUAAUACCGAAUAAAACUUCGUAUCGCAUGAUACAAGGUUAAAAGGCGCUACGGCGUCACCUAGAGAUGGAUCCGCGGUGAAUUAGUUAGUUGGUGGGGUAAAGGCCUACAAGACAAUGAUGCAUAGCCGAGUUGAGAGACUGAUCGGCCACAUUGGGACUGAGACACGGCCCAAACUCCUACAGGAGGCUGCAGUAGGGAAUCUUCCACAAUGGGCGAAAGCCUGAUGGAGCAACGCCGCGUGUGUGAUGAAGGCUUUCGGGUCGUAAAGCACUGUUGUAUGGGAAGAACAAGCUAGAGUAGGGAAUGACUUUAGUUUGACGGUACCAUACCAGAAAGGGACGGCUAAAUACGUGCCAGCAGCCGACGG